CACGCGUCAUUCAUAUUUCCCGGCAUGCCCUGCGAGUGAGCAGCCCUUCAGACGCAAAGGACACUGAGCGAUCAUAGCGGAAUUUCUCUGAGAAAGAAAUCCAGCAGCUUGAAGAUGUCGGACCAGAUCGACGAGAAGAUCAAGAACUA